rnacentral:rRNA from 1 species
UACGUAGGCAGCGAGCGUUGUUCGGAGUUACUGGGCGUAAAGGGUGUGUAGGCGGUUGUUUAAGUUUGGUGUGAAAUCUCCCGGCUCAACUGGGAGGGUGCGCCGAAUACUGAAUGACUAGAGUGCGGGAGAGGAAAGUGGAAUUCCUGGUGUAGCGGUGAAAUGCGUAGAUAUCAGGAGGAACACCGGUGGUGUAGACGGCUUUCUGGACCGUAACUGACGCUGAGGCACGAAAGCGUGGGUAGCAAACAGG